rnacentral:ncRNA from 2 species
CUUUUAUCCAGAGAUGGUGGAGGGACAGGCCCGAAGAAACCCAGCAACCAACACGUCAUGUGGAAAGGUGCUAACCUGCAGAAUCUUUUUAAUGGUUCUGGGAGAUAAGAG